GAUGAACGCUGGCGGCGUGCCUAAUACAUGCAAGUCGAGCGAACAGACGAGGAGCUUGCUCCUCUGACGUUAGCGGCGGACGGGUGAGUAACACGUGGAUAACCUACCUAUAAGACUGGGAUAACUUCGGGAAACCGGAGCUAAUACCGGAUAAUAUAUUGAACCGCAUGGUUCAAUAGUGAAAGACGGUUUUGCUGUCACUUAUAGAUGGAUCCGCGCCGCAUUAGCUAGUUGGUAAGGUAACGGCUACCAAGGCAACGAUGCGUAGCCGACCUGAGAGGGUGAUCGGCCACACUGGAACUGAGACACGGUCCAGACUCCUACGGGAGGCAGCAGUAGGGAAUCUUCCGCAAUGGGCGAAAGCCUGACGGAGCAACGCCGCGUGAGUGAUGAGGGUCUUCGGAUCGUAAAACUCUGUUAUUAGGGAAGAACAAAUGUGUAAGUAACUAUGCACGUCUUGACGGUACCUAAUCAGAAAGCCACGGCUAACUACGUGCCAGCAGCCGCCGUAA
rnacentral:rRNA from 1 species